rnacentral:misc_RNA from 1 species
AUUGCUGAGAAAUUACUUCUGAGCAGAUACCUUAUCCAUCUUCAAUCGACCUUUGCAAGAGAAAAACAGUGAAAUUGAAAUGGCAAAAGAGUUAGAUUUUAAAAUAUUCAACACAAUGACUAAGACAAUGGAGGUUUUCAAGCCCUUAGUCCCUGGUAAAGUACGCAUGUAUGUGUGUGGCGUUACCUCUUAUGAUUUAAGCCACAUCGGUCAUGCUCGUGCUGCAGUCAUCUUUGACGUCCUUUUCAGAUAUCUACAACACUUAGGUUAUGAAGUUACUUAUGUGAGAAAUUUUACAGAUAUUGAUGACAAGAUAAUUCGUAGAGCAAAUGAGCUUGGUGAGGAUCCAUUAUCUUUAAGCAGCAGAUUUUGUGAGGAAUAUCUUGUUGACAUGGACAGUCUGCAGUGCCUCCUUCCUACGCAUCAGCCCCGUGUGACUAACCACAUGGAACAGAUCAAGGACAUGAUCACACAGAUCAUCAACAAUGGCUUUGCAUAUGUUGUUGAAGGAGAUGUGUUCUUUGCUGUUGAUAAAUUCCCAAAUUAUGGUCAAUUGUCUGGGCAGAAACUUGAAAAUACUAGAGCUGGUGAACGUGUUGCUGUUGACACAAGAAAACGUAAUCCUGCUGACUUUGCAUUAUGGAAGGCUGCAAAGCCAGGUGAGCCAAGUUGGGAGAGCCCAUGGGGUCCUGGAAGACCGGGAUGGCACAUAGAGUGCAGUGCAAUGAGUGCUCACUAUCUAACAUUCAAGUUUGACAUCCAUGGUGGUGGAAGUGAUUUAGCUUUUCCUCAUCAUGAAAAUGAGAUUACACAGAGUGCUGCUGCAUGCCUAGAAAGCCAUGUGAGUUAUUGGAUGCAUAAUGGGCACGUUACUAAUAACAAUGAGAAAAUGUCAAAGUCCUUGGGUAACUUUUUCACAAUCCGUCAGGUUACUGAACGGUACCAUCCACUGGCUUUGAGGUACUUUUUGAUGAGUGCACACUACCGCUCGCCCCUCAAUUACACUGUUUUGCAGCUGGAAAGUUCAUCAGAUGCCAUAUUUUACAUUUAUCAGACAUUGCAAGAUUGUGAGGAUGCUUUGUCAUCAUUUCAAGAUGGAAGCCUGAAGGAGGGUGUGGAACUGAAUGUCAAGAAGGUUGGAAUCACUGCUGAUGCCCAAAAAUGCAUCAAUAAACUACGUGAAGAGUUUGAGACUAAAAUGUCAGAUGAUUUAAGCACCUCGCAUAUCUUGAUUGGUGCUUUCCAAGAAGCCUUGAAGUUCAUAAACAGUUCUUUAAGCAUGCUCAAGAAGAAACAACAAAAGCAACAACUAUCAUUGAUUCAAUCCCUUACUGAAAUAGAGAAAGAAGCCAAGUUAGUUCUGAAAAUUUUGGGGCUACUUCCCCCUUGCACUUAUGCUGAGGUUUUGCAGCAGCUAAAAGAGAAGGCGUUGAAGAGGGCUGGACUAACAGAGCAGGAUGUGCUGGGGCUUAUUGAGGAAAGAGCAAUAGCGAGGAAAAACAAGGAUUUUUCAAGAAGUGAUCGGAUCAGGGUUGAUUUGACCGCAAAAGGCAUUGCGCUUAUGGAUGUGGGGAGGGAAACAGUUUGGAGACCAUGUGUCCCUUUUGAACCAGAACAAGAUGCACCAUCUGUUGUAGUAGAACAAAACCCACCAUCAGCUGUAUCAAGUUGAUGAACAGCCUUGUUCUGGCCCCAACCCGGUUGUAGAAGAGCAAAACCCCAGUUGCAAAAUGGAUAACCAUUACUGUUUUUACACUAGUAGAGCGAAAAGUCAAGAAAAUUACCACGCAUUUUGUUUAUGCUCUGUAUGUGUUGACAUUUGGGAGCUUUCACUUAUUAUGGCCUUGUGACAUGGCGAUAUAGAAUUCAACCA